AGAUCUGGUUCAGGAUGAACGCUAGCUACAGGCUUAACACAUGCAAGUCGAGGGGCAGCAUUGGGAUAGCUUGCUAUUCAGAUGGCGACCGGCGCACGGGUGAGUAACGCGUAUCCAACCUCCUGCCAGUAGGGAACAGCCCGGCGAAAGUCGGAUUAAUGCCCUAUGUUCUUCAAUGCGGACAUCUAAGUUGAAGGAAAGAUUCAUCGCUGGCAGAUGGGGAUGCGUCCGAUUAGCUUGCCGGCGGGGUAACGGCCCACCGGGGCGACGAUCGGUAGGGGUUCUGAGAGGAAGGUCCCCCACACUGGUACUGAGACACGGACCAGACUCCUACGGGAGGCAGCAGUGAGGAAUAUUGGUCAAUGGGCGUAAGCCUGAACCAGCCAAGUAGCGUGCAGGGAAUGACGGCCCUACGGGUUGUAAACUGCUUUUAUGCGGGGAUAAAGUGCGGCACGUGUGCCGCUUUGCAGGUACCGCAUGAAUAAGGACCGGCUAAUUCCGUGCCAGCAGCUGC
rnacentral:rRNA from 1 species